rnacentral:tRNA from 1 species
GUCAGUGUGGCAUAAUGGUUAGAGCGUUGGACUAGGACUUGGGAGAGCAGGGUUCGAAUCCCCACUCAGCCA